rnacentral:tRNA from 1 species
GCGCGGGUGGCGGAACUGGCAGACGCGCACGCUUGAGGGGCGUGUACCGAAAGGUGUGUGGGUUCAAGUCCCACCUCGCGCA